UUUAACGGCCGCGGUAUCCUGACCGUGCAAAGGUAGCGCAAUCACUUGCCUUUUAAUUGGAGGCCCGUAUGAAUGGCUAAACGAGGGCCCGUCUGUCUCCUCUCCCAAGUCAAUGAAACUAAUCUCCCCGUGCAGAAGCGGGGAUACCACUACAAGACGAGAAGACCCCAUGAAGCUUUAGACACCCUAAACACGAGCCAUAAGUCCUUCGCCCCCACAGAGACAACACCGCCCGCCCCCUUUUGAAGUGUCUUCGGUUGGGGCGACCUAGGAGGAAAACAGAUCCUCCUUGUGAUAAGGGGCAAAACCCCUACCCCUAAGGGCUACCACCCUAAGCAGCAGAAUCCCUCUGACCCUAUAGACCCGGCACCGCCGAUCAACGAAACGAGUUACUCUGGGGAUAACAGCGCAAUCCCCUCUUAGAGCCCAUAUCGAGGAGGGGGUUUACGACCUCGAUGUUGAAUCAGGACAUCCUAAUGGUGUAGCCGCUAUUAA
rnacentral:rRNA from 1 species